GACAGAGGGUGCAAACGUUGUUCGGAAUCACUGGGCGUAAAGCGCGUGUAGGCGGCAGUGCAAGUCGGAUGUGAAAUCCCGCGGCUCAACCGUGGAAGUGCACCCGAAACUGCACAGCUCGAGUGUCGGGGAGGAAGGUGGAAUGCUUGGUGUAGAGGUGAAAUUCGUAGAUAUUAGCUAGAACACCAGUGGCGAAGGCGGCCAACUGGUCCGGUACUGACGCUGAGGUGCGAAAGCGUGGGGAGCAAACAGG
rnacentral:rRNA from 1 species